rnacentral:rRNA from 1 species
GAUGAACGCUGGCGGCGUGCCUAAUACAUGCAAGUCGAGCGAACAGACGAGGAGCUUGCUCCUCUGACGUUAGCGGCGGACGGGUGAGUAACACGUGGAUAACCUACCUAUAAGACUAGGAUAACUUCGGGAAACCGGAGCUAAUACCGGAUAAUAUAUUGAACCGCAUGGUUCAAUAGUGAAAGACGGUUUUGCUGUCACUUAUAGAUGGAUCCGCGCCGCAUUAGCUAGUUGGUAAGGUAACGGCUUACCAAGGCAACGAUGCGUAGCCGACCUGAGAGGGUGGUCGGCCACACUGGAACUGGGACACGGUCCAGACUCCUACGGGAGGCAGCAGUAGGGAAUCUUCCGCAAUGGGCGAAAGCCUGGCGGAGCAACGCCGCGUGAGUGAUGAAGGUCUUCGGAUCGUAAAACUCUGUUAUUAGGGAAGAACAAAUGUGUAAGUAACUAUGCACGUCUUGACGGUACCUAAUCAGAAAGCCACGGCUAACUACGUG